rnacentral:miRNA from 4 species
GUCUUACCAGACACGGUUAGA